UACGUAGGGUGCGAGCGUUGUCCGGAAUUAUUGGGCGUAAAGAGCUUGUAGGCGGUUUGUCGCGCCUGCUGUGAAAAUCCGGGGCUCAACCCCGGACUUGCAGUGGGUACGGGCAGACUAGAGUGUGGUAGGGGAGACUGGAAUCCUGGUGUAGCGGUGAAAUGCGCAGAUAUCAGGAGGAACACCGGUAGCGGAAGGCGGGUCUCUGGGCCGUAACUGACGCUGGAGGAGCGGAAAGCAUGGGGAGCGAACAGGAUUAGAACUACCUUAGUC
rnacentral:rRNA from 1 species